AAGCUGACCCGGGUAGAAGAACCAAAGAGAGUGCUGCUCUACGUGCGGAAGGAGUCAGAAGAAGUCUUCGAUGCCCUGAUGCUCAAGACUCCAUCCUUGAAAGGCCUGAUGGAAGCUAUCUCUGAAAAAUAUGAUGUUCCCA